rnacentral:rRNA from 1 species
UACGUAGGGUGCAAGCGUUAUCCGGAAUUAUUGGGCGUAAAGAGCUCGUAGGCGGUUUGUCGCGUCUGCUGUGAAAACUGGGGGCUCAACCCUCAGAGGCCGACCGAUACUGUCGGGCUAGAGUCCGGAAGAGGCGAGUGGAAUUCCUGGUGUAGCGGUGAAAUGCGCAGAUAAUCAGGAGGAACACCAAUGGCGAAGGCAGCUCGCUGGGACGGUACUGACGCUGAGGCGCGAAAGCGUGGGGAGCAAACAGG